UUCAGUUACAUCACCACGUGCAGAUGUCAGUUUCUCCCUCAGGCUCGCUGUUGGUUUCCGUUACAUUACCACCCGCACGUGUCAGUUUCUCCCUCAGCCUCGCUGUUGGCUUCAGUUACAUUACCAGGAGCACCUUUGGGUUUCCUAUCUUUACCUGCAUCCCAGAAUAAACCCCACCAAUAUUUGGAAAAUUGGCAUAACUCAGUGAACUAAUAUUUUGCAAAAGGCCAAGGCACAAUGCUUAGAAUCAUGUAUAGAUUCCACAUGGCAACUGACCUUCAAGAAUCAAUCAUUUGUUAAGUUUUCAGGAAGGGUCAAACAAGGACCUCUGCAAUUAUGUGAAAAAGCUAUUAAACUACAUCUUCCAUUUCUAACUAAUUAUGAGGCCUCGAUUCUUCAUAUAUGUCAACCAAAACAACCUCCUGCAAAAGAAUUAACAAAGGGCACAUCUGAAAAUCCUGAUGUCUUUCAUCCAGGCAUUAAACAAAUUUGCAAAAAAUAUAAAAUAAUGCUGUUGUAUUUUUGGUUUGUUCUGAAAAACAUAGCUAUUUUUAUAACAUGUUAUGUAUAUUUACAUGUGUAGUUUUAUCAUUGCCAUUUUAAGUGAAUUAACCAACAUUUUAGAAAAAAAAUAUCAGCAAUUAAAUUUUAUUAUCUAAUCCAGUAAAUGUUGACAGAAUUCAAAAGCCCAAAAAGUAUUUUUUGGGUCGACAAUAAUCUGUUAGAAUGUCCUACACUAAACUCUACUGCGUAUACUUCAUUAUGGAUUUUAUUAAAUUUAUUUUAACCUACAUUUCAAACUGCUAAAUUUAUAGUAAAAUAAUAUUCUAGGUCUCUACUGUUGUGGAUUUUCUUUUUAAUUUGGUGAUAUCAUUAGACCUAAUGACUGUGCUCUAUCGUAUCUUGUCUUCAUGAACUUUCACAAAAUACUUCUCUUAUGUUCUCUAAUAUGUAAUGCAAGAGGGACUAACCAGAUAAAUUUGUCACUGGUCAACAUUUCCUGGUAUAAUAAGUGUAGGGAAUUGUGUAGGUGGAAAAGAUGGAAACUCUAUGCUUGAAGGCUUCAACUAUACUAAGGGACUCCGGUUAAUCAGACAGAGGCCAAUGCACAUGAAAACUGUACCAGCAGAAUUUGUCAUCAGAGUGAUAUCAGCAAACAUGGAGGAGUAGGCAGCUCUAAGAGCCUGUUUCCUCACAAAAACAUUAAAACAAAACAAAACAAAAAAACAGCAAGCAAAACUGUCAGAAUAAGCUAUGUCAGAACACGGGAAAAGAGUCAAAGGUUCACAACAAUCUAGCAAAUACUGAAUCAAGAAAAAGGUAACUUAAAAACAGUAGAAAAAUAUUGUGGCAUUUUUAUUUGGCAUUACUCCAAUCCCCUCCCCGGCUCACUGGUGAUCUUUAACAGUCUGAAUACAGAGUAUGGGACCCUGGUCUCUGGCUUCUGGAGGAAGCCGAGUAGAUCUUUUCUCAAAAUUCUUUUGGUCUGCUCUGACCUGCCUGGGGUUACCUAAAGGACUGACUGACCUGGGGUAUUUAUUUUUCUUACCUGACCCAGAAAACUCAGCACAGAAAAUCAGUGGAUAUUCUCAAAAACAUUAUAAGGCAAAUGAACAAACCCAGCUGCCUGGGAAAAGAGAUACAGUUAAGGCCUAAAAUAUAGCAUUCAGUCUUGAGAAGGAAAGCUGGGAAGAGCUUUCCUUUGAGAAAUUAGGAUUCAAAGUGUCUACAUAUACUGAGAAAUUCAGAAAACCACAUGCGUGCCCAGAGCAGGAUGCAUGUUCAAAAAAAGACCUGAGAAGACCCUAAGUUUUUGCCUCCAGCUAAACUCUAGGCUUAAUACAAAUAGGAAAUGAAGGCGAAUGCAGAGCUAUAAAUAAGUACUGAAUACUUGCCCCAGAUUACAGAACUAAUCUGAAAAGAAUGGGAGAGUGUAUUUGGCUCCUAGCAUUCAAGGAAUCCUUUGUAAAAACACUAGCUGAACACAAGCUAAAGGAAUAGAAACCUCAGAGACCACGUAUGAUAGAGAAUACUGACUUUUCAAAAUACAUCAGAAAAGUCAAUUAAACAACCACAAAAAUAGCUACAGAACAUAACAAAAAUAUAACUCUGAAGAGUGGAAAGAAUCCUAUCUCUAGUGUUCCAGGGGUGGCUGGGUGGCUGAGUUGGUUAACCUUCAGACUUCAGUUCAGGUCCUGAUCUCACAGGUUGUGGGUCAAGCCCCAUGUUGGGCUCUAUGCUGACAGCUCAGAGCCUGGAGCCUAGCCUGCUUCAGAUUUGUGUCUCCCUCUCUCU